rnacentral:rRNA from 1 species
GACGAACGCUGGCGGCGUGCCUAAUACAUGCAAGUAGAACGCUCAAGGAGGAGCUUGCUCUUCUGGACGAGUUGCGAACGGGUGAGUAACGCGUAGGUAACCUGCCUGGUAGCGGCGGAUAACUCUUCGAAACGCUAGCUCAUACCGCAUAAGAGUAGAUGUUGCAUGACAUUUACUUAAAAGGUGCAAUUGCAUCACUACUAGAUGGUCCUGCCUUGUAUUAGGUAGUUGGUGGGGUAACGGCUUACCAAGGCGACGAUACAUAGCCGACCUGGGGAGGGGGUCCGCCAAACUGGGAACGGGACCCGGCCCAGACUCCUACGGGGGGCAGCAGUAGGGGAUCUUCGGCAAUGGACGGAAGUCUGACCGAGCAAAGCCGGGUGGGUGAAGAAGGUUCUCGGAUCGUAAAGCUCUGUUGUAAGGGGAGAACGAGUGUGGGAGUGGAAAGUUCACGCUGUGACGGUAUCUUACCAGAAAGGGACGGCUAACUACGUG